CAGUAGCCGCGGUAAUACGCAGGGUGCAAGCGUUAAUCGGAAUUACUGGGCGUAAAGAGUGCGUAGGUGGUUAGAUAAGUUAUGUGUGAAAUCCCUGGGCUUAACCUGGGCAGGUCAUAUAAUACUGUUUGACUCGAGUAUGGGAGAGGGUAGUGGAAUUUCCGGUGUAGCGGUGGAAUGCGUAGAUAUCGGAAGGAACACCUGUGGCGAAAGCGGCUCACUGGACAAUUACUGACGCUGGUGCACGAAAGCUAGGGGAGCAAACAGGAUUAGAUACCCCCGUAGUCCCUGUCUCUUAUAC
rnacentral:rRNA from 1 species